rnacentral:rRNA from 1 species
AUUGAACGCUGGCGGCAUGCCUUACACAUGCAAGUCGAACGGCAGCGGACCUUCGGGUGCCGGCGAGUGGCGAACGGGUGAGUAAUAUAUCGGAACGUACCUUUCAGUGGGGGAUAACGUAGCGAAAGUUACGCUAAUACCGCAUAUUCUGUGAGCAGGAAAGCAGGGGAUCGCAAGACCUUGCGCUGAUUGAGCGGCCGAUAUCAGAUUAGCUAGUUGGUGAGGUAAAGGCUCACCAAGGCGACGAUCUGUAGCGGGUCUGAGAGGAUGAUCCGCCACACUGGAACUGAGACACGGUCCAGACUCCUACGGGAGGCAGCAGUGGGGAAUUUUGGACAAUGGGCGCAAGCCUGAUCCAGCCAUGCCGCGUGAGUGAAGAAGGCCUCGGGUUGUAAGUACGUCUUUCUAGACGGAACGAAA